GUGCAGUUUCUUAAAUAUUCUGAGGAGACCCCUCCAUCUGGCUGCCGGCUGACCGGGAACCAAUGGAGGGGGAUCAACCGGUUGAUGAAGGGCAUUAGCAAGUCCAUGAGACGACCAGUUUCCCUUCACCAGAUAAAGGUGAAGGACAACAAGGAAGGCAAGGUGGUGUCCAAAAAAGAGCCUGCUGGAGUGCCAGUCCUCUUGCCAAGGCCAAAAUCCCUCAAGUGCUGAGUAAGUUUUUCUCAAUCUGUGAUGUCACUGUUUUUACACACUUAUAGACGUCAGAGAUGUAUAGAAUGCAUUAUGGAGUGGGAUUAUGAAGCUGCCUUUUUUUAUUUUCAUGUUCACAGAAACAUUGGAAGAAACAAGGACACAGAGGAAUCAGUACAGGUUUUAUGGGUACCUGUGUGCCUACUUUACAUCCAUAUACGGCCACAGACCAGGCCUAUAUAAAAACAUGUUGGUGAAAGAGUGGAGGAGGCAAAAUGUGACCAGUCUGGGGUGUACCUGAUCAAUGUAAGUCUAUGAAAUACAGCUGGCUGUGUUUAUUUGUUUGUUUGCUUGGUUGGUUAUCUUUGGAAACAAUUGCAGUCGCAGGAGCGUAAUGUGUUUUUUUGUGUUUUUUCUCUGUUCAAUUUCUAUUAGGUGGGGGACACAAAACAAAUCGGGAGUACGGCAUGGUCCAGAUGUCGCUGACAAAGGAGGAGUACAGCUGGUUUUCCGACUUCCUCAAAUUCAAGCACUGUCUCUUAGGGGGAAAGAAGGCCCAGCACUUCUUUUUCAAUUCAACAAACACUCAGAUGAAGAACCUGCCUGCCUACCUGAGGGAGGUGUGGAAGGAGAUGGGUCUGCCCGAAUGUCCUUCAUUCACUGACCUGAGGACCUCCAUUGUCACUCAUGUAAAAAACAUGCUCCCAAAGGUUGACAGGGAAAGGGUGGCCAACUUCAUGUGCCACAACAUCCAGACGGCAGACAAAUAUUAUGCCAUGAAUUUAAAUCCAACCCAAGCAAAUGAAACCAGGGCACUCUUUGAGGCUGCACUGAAGGGGGAAGAUAACACAGUCGCCGCAGAGAACCAGCCCUCCACCUCAGGAGAAAGAAAGCAGAAGGUGAGAGAGGAUGCCUCCCUCUCCGACGGGAGCACCACCCCUGAAGAGACCAAGGUGAUGUACCAGGAGUCUGGCACGUCCGCCGGUGACUCGGAAGAGGAGGAAGAGGAUGAAGAUGAGGAACAGAUGGCCAGACAACUUCCAGUAAGAUCAGCUAUUCUGACAGGACACAUUUGAUUAUCAAAAUGUACUUGUAAACUAUGUAACAGUCAAGUGUGAAUUCUGAGAUAUAUCUAAUUUCUUGUGUUUGCUCUGUCAGGAGACACCUUCCAAGGUGACCAAUCCUCAGGUGGAGAUGGAACUUACCCCAAAGAGGAAGCGGAGCAUCUGCACACGCCGCAUGGAGGUCGCCAUCAGCCCCAUGC
rnacentral:lncRNA from 1 species